AGAGUUUGAUCCUGGCUCAGGAUUAACGUUGGCAGUGUGCCUAACACAUGCAAGUCGAGCGAUAUAGCGGCAGACGAGAGAGUAUAAGAAAGGAACGUACCCCCGAGUGAAGGAUAGCCAGCCGAAAGGCUGGGUAAUCCUGCAUAAUCCCGCAAGGGCAAAGCUUUACGCGCUUGGGGAGCGGCCUUUCUCCUAUCAGCUUGUUGGUGAGGUAAUGGCUUACCAAGGCGAUGACGGGUAGCUGGUCUGAGAGGAUGAUCAGCCUCGAUGGGACUGAGACACGGACCAUACUCCUACGGGAGGCAGCAGUUGGGAAUUUGCACAAUGGAGGCAACUCUGAUGCAGCAACACUGCGUGAAGGAUGAAGGUUUUCGGAUUGUAAACUUCUUUUAUCUGGGAAUAAUCUUGAAGGUACCAGAUGAAUAAGCACCGGCUAACUACGUG
rnacentral:rRNA from 1 species